UCUCCAGACUCCUACGGGAGGCAGCAGUAGGGAAUCUUCCACAAUGGGCGAAAGCCUGAUGGAGCAACGCCGCGUGGGUGAAGAAGGUCUUCGGAUCGUAAAACCCUGUUGUUAGAGAAGAAAGUGCGUGAGAGUAACUGUUCACGUUUCGACGGUAUCUAACCAGAAAGCCACGGCUAACUACGUGCCAGCAGCCGCGGUAAUACGUAGGUGGCAAGCGUUAUCCGGAUUUAUUGGGCGUAAAGAGAACGCAGGCGGCCUUUUAAGUCUGAUGUGAAAGCCUUCGGCUUAACCGGAGUAGUGCAUUGGAAACUGGGAGACUUGAGUGCAGAAGGGGUAAGCGGAAUUCCUAGUGUAGCGGUGAAAUGCGUAGAUAUUAGGAGGAACACCGGUGGCGAAGGCGGCUUACUGGACUGUAACUGACGUUGAGGCUCGAAAGCGUGGGGAGCAAACAGGAUUAGAUACCCGGGUA
rnacentral:rRNA from 1 species